GUAAUGCUUCUGGUAUGAUAUCGAUGGGACUCACAGCGUAGACUACACUCAGUACCAUUGCAAUGUAAACACGUGUUCUAAUGACAAGAGGAAGAGAUCUCUGUGGAUUAAGGAGUUCCCGAAGCAGCCUCCGUAGGAGAAAAGGAAGGUCCUGCAAUUGCUGACUAAAACCAGUUGAGUUGCCACCAAAAUGACGGUUAUAAGUCCUUAUAUUGUUAAGAACGCGUGCAACCUCUGGGUCACCUUGCUGAAUUGGUGAAACCUCAGAAGGAACUAAUAAAGAGAUUUGUCG
rnacentral:misc_RNA from 1 species